rnacentral:sRNA from 1 species
UUCUCAAGAACACAUACGGAUCUGUGUCCAGCGAUCCCAUUCACGAAGACUUUUCUUCCUCUUCGGAGAGGAAUUGGAUUUGUGUUUUGGUUGAACGCUGGACAGUUCGACGACCACGGAGCCAUCACUCUUUCUGGUGUCAAUUUCCUGUCGACAGAUCUCAGAGAAAAUGUCGGUGCUGGGUGUUCGUCUGGUCUUGAGCUCCCUUUUCGGAGGUGAGCUCGGCUGGAUUGCCCGGUUGCUGACGGCGUCAUAUUCCUACUCUCUUUGCCGAAUGGCCGUCGGCCAGUGAGGCUAGGGACAAACCAUGACAAGCCAACAUAU